rnacentral:rRNA from 1 species
UUUGGUUAAGUUAGAAAGGGCGCACGGUGGAUGCCUUGACACUAGGAGUCGAUGAAGGACGGGACUAACGCCGAUAUGCUUCGGGGAGCUGUAAGUAAGCUUUGAUCCGAAGAUUUCCGAAUGGGGAAACCCACCAUACGUAAUGGUAUGGUAUCCUUAUCUGAAUACAUAGGGUAAGGAAGACAGACCCAGGGAACUGAAACAUCUAAGUACCUGGAGGAAGAGAAAGCAAAUGCGAUUUCCUGAGUAGCGGCGAGCGAAACGGAACAUAGCCCAAACCAAGAGGCUUGCCUCUUGGGGUUGUAGGACAUUCUAUACGGAGUUACAAAGGAACGAGGUAGACGAAGCGACCUGGAAAGGUCCGUCGUAGAGGGUAACAACCCCGUAGUCGAAACUUCGUUCUCUCUUGAAUGUAUCCUGAGUACGGCGGAACACGUGAAAUUCCGUCGGAAUCUGGGAGGACCAUCUCCCAAGGCUAAAUACUCCCUAGUGAUCGAUAGUGAACCAGUACCGUGAGGGAAAGGUGAAAAGCACCCCGGAAGGGGAGUGAAAGAGAUCCUGAAACCGUGUGCCUACAAAUAGUCAGAGCCCGUUAACGGGUGAUGGCGUGCCUUUUGUAGAAUGAACCGGCGAGUUACGAUCCCGUGCGAGGUUAAGCUGAAGAGGCGGAGCCGCAGCGAAAGCGAGUCUGAAUAGGGCGUUUAGUACGUGGUCGUAGACCCGAAACCAGGUGAUCUACCCAUGUCCAGGGUGAAGUUCAGGUAACACUGAAUGGAGGCCCGAACCCACGCACGUUGAAAAGUGCGGGGAUGAGGUGUGGGUAGCGGAGAAAUUCCAAUCGAACCUGGAGAUAGCUGGUUCUCCCCGAAAUAGCUUUAGGGCUAGCCUUAAGUGUAAGAGUCUUGGAGGUAGAGCACUGAUUGGACUAGGGGUCCUCAUCGGAUUACCGAAUUGAGUCAAACUCCGAAUGCCAAUGACUUAUCCUUAGGAGUCAGACUGCGAGUGAUAAGAUCCGUAGUCAAAAGGGAAACAGCCCAGACCGCCAGCUAAGGUCCCAAAGUGUGUAUUAAGUGGAAAAGGAUGUGGAGUUGCUUAGACAACUAGGAUGUUGGCUUAGAAGCAGCCACCAUUUAAAGAGUGCGUAAUAGCUCACUAGUCGAGUGACUCAGCGCCGAAAAUGUACCGGGGCUAAAUACACCACCGAAGCUGCGGAUUGAUACCAAUGGUAUCAGUGGUAGGGGAGCGUUCUAAGGACAGUGAAGUCAGACCGGAAGGACUGGUGGAGUGCUUAGAAGUGAGAAUGCCGGUAUGAGUAGCGAAAGACGGGUGAGAAUCCCGUCCACCGAAUGCCUAAGGUUUCCUGAGGAAGGCUCGUCCGCUCAGGGUUAGUCAGGACCUAAGCCGAGGCCGACAGGCGUAGGCGAUGGACAACAGGUUGAUAUUCCUGUACCACCUCUUUAUCGUUUGAGCAAUGGAGGGACGCAGAAGGAUAGAAGAAGCGUGCGAUUGGUUGUGCACGUCCAAGCAGUUAGGCUGAUAAGUAGGCAAAUCCGCUUAUCGUGAAGGCUGAGCUGUGAUGGGGAAGCUCCUUAUGGAGCGAAGUCUUUGAUUCCCCGCUGCCAAGAAAAGCUUCUAGCGAGAUAAAAGGUGCCUGUACCGCAAACCGACACAGGUAGGCGAGGAGAGAAUCCUAAGGUGUGCGAGAGAACUCUGGUUAAGGAACUCGGCAAAAUGACCCCGUAACUUCGGGAGAAGGGGUGCUUUCUUAACGGAAAGCCGCAGUGAAUAGGCCCAAGCGACUGUUUAGCAAAAACACAGCUCUCUGCGAAGCCGUAAGGCGAAGUAUAGGGGGUGACACCUGCCCGGUGCUGGAAGGUUAAGGAGAGGGGUUAGCGUAAGCGAAGCUCUGAACUGAAGCCCCAGUAAACGGCGGCCGUAACUAUAACGGUCCUAAGGUAGCGAAAUUCCUUGUCGGGUAAGUUCCGACCCGCACGAAAGGUGUAACGAUUUGGGCACUGUCUCAACCAGAGACUCGGUGAAAUUAUAGUACCUGUGAAGAUGCAGGUUACCCGCGACAGGACGGAAAGACCCCGUGGAGCUUUACUGUAGCCUGAUAUUGAAUUUUGGUACAGUUUGUACAGGAUAGGCG